rnacentral:rRNA from 1 species
CCUACGGGAGGCAGCAGUGAGGAAUAUUGGUCAAUGGGCGCUAGCCUGAACCAGCCAAGUAGCGUGAAGGAUGACUGCCCUAUGGGUUGUAAACUUCUUUUAUAUGGGAGUAAAGUGCAGUAUGUAUACUGCUUUGCAUGUACCUUAUGAAUAAGGAUCGGCUAACUCCGUGCCAGCAGCCGCGGUAAUACGGAGGAUCCGAGCGUUAUCCGGAUUUAUUGGGUUUAAAGGGAGCGUAGGUGGAUUGUUAAGUCAGUUGUGAAAGUUUGCGGCUCAACCGUAAAAUUGCAGUUGAAACUGGCAGUCUUGAGUACAGUAGAGGUGGGCGGAAUUCGUGGUGUAGCGGUGAAAUGCUUAGAUAUCACGAAGAACUCCGAUUGCGAAGGCAGCUCACUGGACUGCAACUGACGCUGAGGCACGAAAGUGCGGGUAUCGA